rnacentral:rRNA from 1 species
AGAACGAACGCUGGCGGCAUGCCUAAUACAUGCAAGUCGAACGAAGGCUUCGGCCUUAGUGGCGCACGGGUGCGUAACGCGUGGGAAUCUGCCCCUUGGUUCGGAAUAACAGUUGGAAACGACUGCUAAUACCGGAUGAUGACGAAAGUCCAAAGAUUUAUCGCCAAGGGAUGAGCCCGCGUAGGAUUAGCUAGUUGGUGAGGU